AACUCAAGUACGUUUAAUUCACCACAGAGGAGCUAAAAGAAAAGAGAGGGGGUUGGUAAAAUACAGUAUACUUUCUUUAAAAAAGACUUGGGAGGAAAAAAAUCAACUUAGAAGAUCAUAUGAAAGGGCAAUCACAUGGAACCCAGUUAGUGUCCUAGUUUAUUACUAGUCUUCAGAUCCAGAAAACAGAGUAAGACACUAGGUAAACAGAACACCUAGGCACAUCUGUAAGGCAUUUGUUUCCUAUCACACAGCCCAUUCUAGCUUAACACCCACCAACUGAGAUGUAGUGAAAUACUAAAACUGGAUGCUCAAAUUAUGUUUUUAUCCAACCAAAAAGUUCUUUAAAUAUAAAAUUCCUCACUUUAAACUCUGCCUUGUCUUCUGUGAUACCAACAGAACUUUAAGGUUUUAUGCAAUAUGAUGAUUUCGUGUUACUUUUAAAAGAACCCACAAAGUAAGCAAUUGUCCACAGAUGAAACAUGGGAUGAGGUUCAUGACUGAAUCAAUCAUGGAGUGUUAGUCAAUUGUAAACUCCUGAAAGUUAAGACUAGGAAAUGUGUAUAUCAGACACAUAAGAGUACAACAAUAGGAGAAAAAGGGAAGCCUGUUUGUCAUUCCAAUUCUGACAACGUACAAGGUCUUCGAAAUUCUUGUCCACGUUCAUGGAGCCAUUUAUUGGAUACUGUGAGAGAAAAGUAAUAUAUUAAUUUUCCCCCUUAAUCUAAUCAGUAUUUAAUUAGUUUCUAAAAGCUAGGUCUAUAACAAAGUUUCAUCAUGGGAUAAAAGUUCAACACCAAAACCGGAUAAAGGCAGAUGCUACUUAAAAACUUGGCUAAAUGCUGAAAACACAGAUUUUAUAUACCUAUAUACAUAUGUGUACACACUUGUGUGCGUGUAUGUACAUACAUGUAUGUAUACACAUGUAUAUUUGCCAGUCUAUGUGCAUUUCUUACAGUUUCCAAUGUUCAAUGUGAGGCUUGAAAUGAGACACAAAUGGACCUAAGAUACAGGUACAGGUAAGAGUAGAAUAUUGCUUUAUGUAUUGUUUUCAAAGUACAGCCUCCAAAAUACAAAGACAAUAAUGAACACAAACUUUGCACUCUAAAGGAACAACUCUCUUAUCAACCAUUGCUAUUGUAUGCUCAUCAAGUUUCCAAAAUACCUUUAAAAAAUGUAUACCAUGUAAAAAUGUAUCCCAAAAGCAGUUAAUUUUCUAUUUUUUUUUUGUCUCUGGUACCAUAGAACCCAGUCAAAAUAUCUAAAGCAGGAACCUUAAUUCUUAACUCUUUUUCCUUCUUCAACCCUUGUAUCUACACUUUAUUCAUCAAACCCUGACAAUUUUCCUUACAUCUCUCUCAAAUCUAUUUGCUCUCCAACCCUUUCACUGAUGCUUUAAUCCAGGCCAUUAUCAUCUCCCACUUAGACAACAGAAAACAGCUUUCUAAACUCUCUCUCACCAACUAGCCUCUCCUCAUUCUAGUCCAGUGGUUCUUAAACACUAUAAUCAUAAGGGGAGAUUUUAAAAUCCUGAUCAGGCCUCACUCCUUAACCUUGUAAUGUCCUGUAUGUAACCACUCAACAUGUGGCUAGUAACACAGAUUGAAAUGGAUACAUGGGGCUAAUUAAUAGAUAUUAAAACUAAUUUUACCUGUUUCUUUUUACUUUUUAAAAAUGUGGUCCUGCACUUGCAUGUCCCUGACUGAGAGUGAGUGCCUCUUUAAAUUUUGCACAUUAGGUGCUACUCGAGCCUCACAUUAGAACCUGGUAUCUAACAUGUUUGGAAAACUGCUGUUCUAUCUUCAGGACCAAAUUUAAAGAAAAAGCUUUGAAGAAGACUCCCCAAACUUAGGCAGUCACCAUCUUCUGUUUACAUUUUUGUAUUAAUAUGUACUACAUUAUAAUCCAUUAGUAUGUCUCAAUCAGAUUAUUAACCCUUUGAGGGGAAGAUAUUGUCUUAUUCAAUUUUGAGUCAGUCAUUGUUUCUUGGAAUAAGUAAAAAUAGUUAAAAAUAAAAUCUGUCAUCAAAAUUCUGAUUUCAAAUUUGUAUUAUGAUUAGGCACUUGUUUGGCUGAAUCCUGUACAAUGUUAAAAUCAUAUUAAGCAAACAUGGGGGCUUUUGUUUUUAAGACACAGAUAAUAGUUCCAAAAUAAGAAACAAAAAUUACAUUAUCUUCGCAGAAUAUAUGAAAUAUUUACCCCAUUUGUUGCCAACUAGCACUGGACAGGCUGCAUGCCGUGUACUAUAAUCUCCUUCUCCACUGGCAAACAGAUUAUACCAGAAAACAGCAGUUCCCUAUGGAGAACAAUUCACAAUUAUCCCCAAGUAUACAAUGCCAGGUAAUUGCUUUCGGUAGUUAUUACUUUUUUUUUUUUUUUGAGACAGAGUCUUGCUCUAUCGCCCAGGCUGGAGUGCAAUGGCACGAUCUCAGCUCACUGCAACCUCCACCUCCCAGGUUGAAGUGAUUCUCCUGCCUCAGCGUCUCAAAUAGCUGGGAUUACAGGCGUGCAACACCAGGCCUGGCUAAUUUUGUAUUUUUAGUAGAGACGGGCUUUCACCAUGUUGGUCAGGCUGGUCUCGAACUCCUAACCUCAGAUGAUCCGCCCAUCUUGGCCUCCCAAAGUGCUGGGAUUACAGACGUGAGCCACCGUGCCCGGCCGUUUUCAGCAGUAAUUUUCCCUUUGUUCCUGCGGAAGAACUCUAUAGCAGUAUUUUAUUUUCCUCUAAUAUAAUUCUGAAAAUAUGGUUAUAUCACUUUAAGAACCGUUUUUGAUCAUAUGAAAAAUACCAUAAAAAUGUUUGACAACAAAAGUAUUUGCCAAAAGAAAGCUAACAUAUCUUACAUAGCAAGAUGGAGGGGAAAACACAAUGCAGAACCCAUUUUAGAAAUGAAAAAUUUUAAAUACUAAUUCCUGGUCAUUCAUUACCUCUAAGUACUCGUGGCAAGGACCAUAAAAAUACCUUUAAAAAUGUAAUUUGGUCAGGCACAGGGGUUCAUGCCUGUAAUCCCAACAUUUUGGGAAGCUGAGGUGGGAGGAUCACUUGAGCCCAAGAGUUCAAGACCAGCCUGGGCAAUACAGGGAGACACUGUCUCUACAAAAAAUUUAAACAUUAGCUGGGCAUGGUGACAUGCACCUGUAGUCCCCACUAUUUGGGAGGCUGAGGCUUGAACCCAGGAGGUCAAAGCUGCAGUGAGCCAUGUUUAUACUGCUGGGCUCCAGCCUGGGCAACAGAGCGAGAACAGGUCUCAAAAAAUGAAAAAGAAAAAAAAAUGUAAUUCAUUAAUUAGACCAUGAAUACAAGUGCAUCUCUUCCUUAGGGAAAAAAUUAAUAAACCAAAAACAAAACAAACAGGCUUACUUUUUUGGGCCAAACACUAGCUCCAACUUCAGGAAAAACAGUGGCUCCUCCUGCAGACACAUCACUCAUCUAUAAGAAACAAGAGGGUGUUAUCAAAAGUGCUGGUAGAAUAAAGUAAAACAUGCCAUUAUAUAGACUUGAUAUUGGAUACUAGAAUAUUGGGAACAUAUGGACUUGUUCUUAUAUAGCAUGGUUGGUACAUGCUACUCAGUUUUUCAAAAAUAAAAUGCCAUUUAGGUUUAUAUACAUAAGUAAAAAAACUACAAAAAGCAAAGGAAUGAAUAACAAAAAACUAUCAGGAUGGAAGACUGGGGAUAUAAUUUGAGAUAGGAACUUAUUUAUAGCCAGAGGGAAAAAGUAAUGACUUAAAACUAAUGAGUCAAUACACAGAUAUAAAUAUGUAUUUUAUUGUAUUAGAAUGUAAUCUCCAUGGAGGCAGGAAUUUUCAUCUGUUUUGUUCAUUGCUGAUCAUUAAUGUCUAGAACAAUAGUACCUCAAGAACAGUAGGUGCUCAAGAAAUAUUUAAAUAAAUGUAAAAUAAAAAUACUCAGUUUUGCCAUUUCUCAUGGAAGGGAAUCAAACAUAUUAAAUAAAAGUGAGAAAGUUAAAGGAUUAUAUAAAGUUAUAGUCAUAAAGAUAACCUAGAAUAAAAAUGGAAACCUUUUAAAUUAACCAAAGAAUCACAAAAAACAAGGCAAAGGAAACAUGGAUCAUAAAGAUUUUUUUAAAGCAACAUAAGUAGAAUGUAUAGACUGAUUAGAUCACAGAGCAAAACCCAGCUACAUAUUAUAUCAGAGCUGCAUCUAAAACAAGUGACUUACAAACACAGAACACAAAAAUGUAAGAUUUUGGGCAAAUGCUAUCCAAGGAAAACAGGAUAUGAUCUUAGUAUGAGAUACAGUUUAAAUCAAGGUAAAAAGCAUUAAAUGAGAUAGAAGGUAUUUUACAAUGAUAAAUACAUAACUAAUAGUAAAGAACUAAGAACACUUAACCAAUGAAAAAAUUAAACUCUGAGGAAAUUAAAAAGUUGUGCAUGAGAGGAAAAGUAAUUUGAGAUAUUCUAUGUGCCCCUCUGGGAAUGGUAUUUAAAUAACGGAAAAAAUGAUAAUCAAUUAAAAUGCUAUACAACUAUUUUAGAAAAACAGGAAGGGUGUUUACAUUAAGAGGGAGAAACAGAUAGUGGGCCAAAUAAUACAGCAUCAAUAUUCAUAAAACAAAGAAAUAUAAGCAGAACCAGGAACACAUAAACACUAAUGGCUUUUAAACAUCUGAAAAGAUGCUCAACCUCUCUAAUAAGAGAAAUGCAAAUUAAAGCCACAAUAACUGCUAAUUUAAUAAGUGAAAUAUACAUAGAUCAAAAAGUCUGACAAACAUACUUCACAAACAUAUCCCACUUAAAAUUGGGAUAUAAACUGGUACAACCUCUAAGACUCACCUCUAGAAAAUAUGCAAGCCUUUGCAGCAUGAAUUUGUAUACCGUACUAACCCUCUCCUGGUUUUCCCUUUGUGGUAUUUCUCUUUUUUUAUAUGAAUCUUUGUAAUGUACCUUACCUCCUUUUGGAAACAAGAUGGAGUUGUGAGAGAAAUACAAAUUGGGAAUUGGGGAGAAAAGGAGGCAUACGGAGAGGAAGGAGAUAGGGAAGAAGGGAAAGAAAACAAACAGGGAAGGUAGCAGGAAGAGAAAAAGGAAAUAGACUGAACAGACAGAUUUUGGUAGGGAGUGAGAUACUACAGACAACAAAAAGAUGUAAUUCAAAUAGGGCUAAGGAAUGGAAAAAGUGAUGAAAUAACCAAAAUUAAGUCUACAUAUAAAAUAUAUAUAUUUUUUUUAUUUUUAUUUUUUGAGAUGGAGCCACGCUCCGUUAUCCAGGCUGGAGAGUGCAGUGGCGCGAUCUCGGCUCACUGCAACCUCUGCCUCCCAGGUUCAAGUGAUUCUCGUGCCUCAGCCUCCUGAGUAGCUGGUACUACAGGUGUGUGCCACCACACCCAGCUAAUUUUUGUAUUUAUAGUGGAGAAGGGGUUUCACCACGUUGGCCAGGCUGGUCUCGAACUCCUGACCUCAAGUGAUCUGCCCGCCUCGGCCUCUCAAAGUGUUGGGAUUACAGGCGUGUGUCACUGUGCCUGGCCUAAAAUAUCUUUUUUAAGUUAACAAAGGUUAUGACAUUAUGGCAGAUUGCAUUUUCCAAAUAUAAUACAUCCCAAUAUGUCCCAUCCUACAUGCUCUUUUUAUGUGACGCUGACAUUCGUCUGCAGUGGUAGGGUCUGUGUGCCCUCUCCUUGAAGCUGGGCAGACCUUUGUAAUUGCUGUAACAGAAUACAGCAAAAUUAACAUCUGUGACUUCUGAGGGUAGGUCAUAACAAUACCAUGUACUUUUGCAUUGUUCUUUUGGGAUGCUUCCUCUUGCAAUCCAGUCACUAUGCUGUGAAGAAGCUCAGCCACAUGUAUUGGCCAGACUUUAGGCAUUCUGGCUGACAGCCAGCCUCAACCUUAGCCUUCAAGAUACCCCAGUGCCAGGCAUUUGACGGCAAAUACAUGUCAGAUUUGGAGCAGGAACCAUGAGUUGAGCCCAGUCAACCUCAUAACUGUUAGAGAUACAUUAAGAAAAUCGUUGUUAUUUUAAACCACUCAGAAAGGAGAGUUUUGGAGUGCUUUAUUUGGGGUAACUAGAACAAACACUACAAUCAAAACUUUUUUCCAUAUAUAAAAAUAUAUAAACAAUUUUAAAAAUUGAAUUAUGAUCAUACUGUUUUAAAACUCUGAGAUAGGGUUUCUGGGGGUUGUAAUAUGCUAUUUCUUCAUCUUAGUACUGAAUACACCAGAAGUGUUCACUUUGUGAAAAUUAAGUUAUAAUACUUAAUUUGCGCACUCUUCUGAUAUACUUCAAUAAAAAAAUGUAAUUCAGAAGUUUACUGAAAUAAUGUGUAUGUGUAUGUAUAGAAAUUCAAAUAUAUAGAGAUUUUUAUAUACACAUAUUAUAUAUUACUAAACAGAGAGACUAUAUGUUAAAAUAUUAAUGAUUAUCUGCAGGUAGUGGCACUAUAAAUUCUAAGUUUGUCCAGAAGUUUCUAUAAUGAACAUCUAUCUUAUAGCCUGAAAAAGUUGCAAGUGCAAAAUAAUUCUUAACUCACUUUAUUCAGUUGUAAAAAUGUUAAACUAGGAUGCUGAAUCAGAGCUACACAGAACAAACUUAAAACAUUAAAAUGAAUCUUGUCAUCAAAUCCCAACUUAAUCUAAAAAUUUUAGUGACGACUUACAUAAAACAGCCAUGUAGCAAUUCUAUUUCCUGUCCCCAGCUCUUUGAAAGCAUCUGGCUCAUCUUUCUGUGAAUAAAAACACAGUAAAUUCAAUGGUGUAAAAAUUCAGUAAUACAAAUACUCUAGUGGCAACUAAACAUCAGUAGUAAUAUCCUGAAGAAUAUGCCAACAACAACCGCAAAAGUUUCCCUUGUAAUGUCCAGUGCACUAUAAACAUCAGGCAAUCUUUUUGUAAGAUGGAGUCUUGCUAUGUGGACCAGGGUGAUCUUGAACUCCUGGCCUCAAGCGAUCCUCCUGCCUUAGCCUCCCAAAAUGCUGGGAUUACAGGCAUGAGCCACCACGCCUGGCCCCUAGUAUUAUUUUUCUAAUAAUGCUAGUAAAGUGACUUUCAGCACUAUAAUCAAGCUAAAGAAUUAAUAUCUAAAUAUUUAUAUCUAAAUUAAAAUACAAUACAACCUCUUGGCAUUUCUCCCAGAAAAAUGAAAAUGCAUUUUUCACAUAGAAAUGUAAACACAUCUUUAUUUGUAAUAGCCAAAAACUAAAAACUAUCCAAAUGUCCUUCGAUGGGUGAAUGGCUAAACUGUGGUAUAUCCGUAACAUGGAAUACAGGUUGAGCAUACCAAAAGUCCAAAAUGCAAAAUGCUCUGAAGUUCAAAACUUUUAGUGCUAACAUGACACAAGUGGAAAAUUCCAUACAUAGUACUCCCUGAAGUAGCUCCCCUAUCAUACACACUAUGCCCCAGCCAGGAUGGAAACAGACAGUUCCCCAUAAGGCUCCUGUAUCACAAGAGAUUUAUUUUCAAACCCAUUCUUUCUUUACUGAAGGUGUAAUCCUUGUGGAGAUUUAGAGUUUAUGCCAGGGUCUCAAAUUCAGCAGCCUACACUGUGGCAGAUCCUCCUCUUACAGAGCUGUUAUUCCCAAAGCUCUAGUUCCUGGAGGCACAUACCUCCAGCCUCUGUGUUUUGUCCCCUCUUUAAUUCUCUAAGUUUGGGAUCAUUGUUCAGUUUGCCUUUUGGAACACCCUUUACUUUCUUCCAGGCUUGCCAAUGCAUUUAAAGUAUCUUAAGUGAUUUUAUUGGGUAUCUAGGUGUUUGGUUUUUUUUUUUUAACUGGUAAAAAGGUUUCACAGAAUAUCUGCCACACCGUAUUUCCAUAAAUUCCAAAUAGGCUAUGAAUUUUUAAUGUUAAAAUAACAGAAUUAACAUGUUGACAAAGAAUCUCUCCUUGACCCAACUACUCAGGCUCCUCUGAACUUUCUUCUCAAGUAGGCCCUGACUUUGGGCUUCUGGUAUUUACCUCUGCAUUGUCCAAUUUAAGCAAGAACCCUGCUAAGUCAGGUUAGCCAGAAUUCCCCGUCCUUGCCAUGUGAUCACCCUCAAAACCUAACUGGGUUCUUCAUCUUCCACUAUCCCCUGGAUGAUGAUCACUCUUCCCUGACUUCAGCAAGAAUCCUGUUAGGUCAGUUUAGCCAGAAUCUUCCCUUACCUCUUAGUAAUUUUCCAUCUAC
rnacentral:lncRNA from 1 species